AGCGAACGCUGGCGGCAGGCCUAACACAUGCAAGUCGAACGAAGCCUUCGGGCUUAGUGGCGGACGGGUGAGUAACACGUGGGAACGUACCUUUUGGUUCGGACUAACGCAGAGAACUUUGCGCUAAUACCGAAUGAGCCCUUCGGGGGAAAGGUUUAUCGCCGAAAGAUCGGCCCGCGUUGGAUUAGGUAGUUGGUGUGGUAAAGGCGCACCAAGCCUACGAUCCAUAGCUGGUCUGAGAGGAUGAUCAGCCACACUGGGACUGAGACACGGCCCAGACUCCUACGGGAGGCAGCAGUGGGGAAUCUUGCGCAAUGGGCGAAAGCCUGACGCAGCCAUGCCGCGCGAAUGAUGAAGGUCUUAGGAUUGUAAAAUUCUUUUGCCAGGGACGAUAAUGACGGUACCUGGAGAAAAAGCCCCGGCUAACUUCGUGCCAGCCGCCGCGGUAACAC
rnacentral:rRNA from 1 species